ACACUCAGGGGGAGGUAGAAGAGAGAAAGCAGUGAACGAUUCAUCUUCCCUUCUAUAUCUGAAAGGAUAAGCAGGCUGUGCUUUCCAGAAAUGCGUGACCUAUCCAAUCCUUUCUCUCAUAGAAACGCCAACUCAUCCAUGCCCUCUGUACUGAACCUUGGUCUCAGCCUGCUGGAAUCACCUGCACCCUAUGGGAACUUAGCCGUAUCUUCAGUCCUGUGAGCCCCCGUCAUGGCCUGUCACAGGAGUAAAUGAAGAGUAAGGGCCAGAAUACUCAGUACCUCUUAAUGACCCUCAGAUGAUGUAGGAAGAGGAUUGGUUAACCUUUUAACCCAGAAUUUCUCACAUUGAAUGGACAGGAUGCAUUCCAAGAGACCAGAGUAUUUGCAUCUCAGCUCCUGAUGGUUUCCACCACCACCAUUACUUUCCCUAUGUCAAGAUACCUGGGAAGCCGGACUUGUUUUAAGGCAGAGUAUCAUAUCACAUCAAAACCUUUCCAUAAGUCCUGCCACUCCAUGUGCAAUGCCAUGAACUUAAACAAAUUGCUGGUAAGAGAAAGCAAAUGCUG
rnacentral:lncRNA from 1 species